AUACUUACCUGACGCGAGAGGCACCUUGAUCAACUAGGAGGUCCUCUCAGGAUGAGGCCCUUUCAUUGCACUUCGACUGGGUUGACUCCUGCGAUUACCCCU